rnacentral:rRNA from 1 species
AGUGAACGCUGGCGGUAGGCCUAACACAUGCAAGUCGAACGGCAGCACAGUAAGAGCUUGCUCUUACGGGUGGCGAGUGGCGGACGGGUGAGGAAUACAUCGGAAUCUACUUUUUCGUGGGGGAUAACGUAGGGAAACUUACGCUAAUACCGCAUACGACCUACGGGUGAAAGCAGGGGAUCUUCGGACCUUGCGCGAUUGAAUGAGCCGAUGUCUGAUUAGCUAGUUGGCGGGGUAAAGGCCCACCAAGGCGACGAUCCGUAGCUGGUCUGAGAGGAUGAUCAGCCACACUGGAACUGAGACACGGUCCAGACUCCUACGGGAGGCAGCAGUGGGGAAUAUUGGACAAUGGGCGCAAGCCUGAUCCAGCCAUACCGCGUGGGUGAAGAAGGCCUUCGGGUUGUAAAGCCCUUUUGUUGGGAAAGAAAAGCAGCAGGUUAAUACCCCGCUGUUCUGACGGUACCCAAAGAAUAAGCACCGGCUAACUUCGU